rnacentral:rRNA from 1 species
CAAAGGUAGCGUAAUCAUUUGUCUACUAAUUAUAGACCAGUAUGAAGGGCCACAUGAGGGUUUAACUGUCUCCUAAGACUAAUUUAUAAAACUGAUCUUCUAGUUCAAAAGCUAGAAUUCUAAUAUAAGACGAGAAGACCCUGUGAAGCUUAAAAAACCCCGUUAAUAAAACUAAUGGGUACUUUUAGUUGGGGCAACUUUGGAGAACAAACAAACCUCCAAAGACUAACAAGUCAACGAUGACCCAGUAUAACUGAAAAAUGGACCAAGUUACUCCAGGGAUAACAGCGCAAUCUUCUUCAAGAGCCCGUAUCUAAAAGAAGGUUUACGACCUCGAUGUUGGAUCAGGACACCCAAACAGUGCAGUAGCUGUUAACGGUUCGUUUGUUCAACGAUUAAAGU